UCAGACAGCACCUUCCUCCUUGGUAAGCAGUUCGAUUUGCCUGGAUUAUGAUGUAUGGACAAAUAUUUAUUUAUUUAGCAAGGAUGGAAAUUGGAUUAAUGGAAUCUAGAACAGACAAAGAGUAAAGCUGGGGACUGAAAUGAGAAGGAACUGUACUGAGACAGCUUUUAAUUAGAAGUCUCUUCAGAACCCACAGCCAAACUCUGAAAGAAAAGGUGCUAAUAUUGGCAUCCUGAAUGUCUGCCAAAGGCAGUGACACUGAAAACAAAUGGCUCAUCCCAAGGUGGCCUGAGGUGUGUUCAUGGUUCCUGUAACACUCCACGGGGUUCAACACAGCAAGGGAAAGCCUCCAAUUAGGUUGGCAUUGGGAGACUGGAUGGCAAGAUCAUGUUGAGGUGAGUUUCAGAGACACAAGGAAGGGAUUUAAGUCGCACACUGGAGAGGAAAUACCAUUUCAGGCACAGGCCUUGUCCAACUACAAGGGACUGAAAAGAGUGGGCUGCAUAUCUGUUUCCAUGUGAACUUGGAAAGACUUUCCAAGACGUGCCAAGGGUAGUGUGUUGUAAG